ensembl:lncRNA
CGGGUCUGCAAUCUGAUCAGAGACACUUUUUCAUGAAAAGCAUUUUACUCGUUAAUAAAGGACGAGUUUAAACAUGACAAAAGGAGCAGAGCUGUAUUUAUCAUCAGAUAAACCCUCCUUAUUAUAACGCUACUCAUGCUGCGGUCAGAAAAAAUACUCUCAUGUGGGUCUUUGUGUUGGGGUUUUUAAGGGGGGUGAGCGUUAAAGGUUCUGUAUAGAACCCUGCAACUGGGUGUUCAGAACCCUUGAGGAAAGAGAGGAUUACUGAGGGUUUCAUGAAGGUUCUGAGGUUCCAAAGCUUUAUUGAUGGUAUAUUCAGAUUGUUAAGGGUUUAAUGAAAGUUCUGCGGGUUUAAAGAGGUUCUAAGGGUUAAAGGUCAGGUAUACAAUUGGGUUUACUGAGGGUAUAGUUAGGGGUUGAAUGAGGGUUUAAAUGACGGUUUACAGAGGGCCCUGAGGGUUUCAUGAGGGUUCUGAGGAUUUAAUGAGGGUUCUGAUGGUUUAAUGAGGGUUCUGAUGGUUUAAUGAGGGGUUCUGAUGGUUUAAUGAGGGUUCUGAGGAUUUAAUGAGGGUUCUGAGGAUUUAAUGAGGGUUCUGAGGUUGUAAUAUUUCAUUAUAAUACAUGCAGCUCUGUUCACUUCUGUCCACUGCAUAUUUAGAGGGAUUUAUAAAGCCGUGCUUCCUCACAGCUGCAAUUCUAAACAUCGCCAUGUAUUUUCUUGUUCUUUGAUUCACGGCAGUUUGGUGUUUAAACAGUGAAGUGAUAAUAAUUUUUCAGAAUUAUACGAUGAAUGGUGAAGAAGCUUUUUGGGUUUUGGCUGUAGGGGGAAAUUCGGCACUGUAAUUAACCGAGACGUGCUGUUUGUUGAAGCUAAUUGUGUUGGAUUUACGAAAAUGAAAAAGGAGGAGAUGGAGCUACCAGGCAAAUAUAACGCAAUUAACAUUCCUGUGUGGGAAAAAAAACAUUCCUGUGGGAAAUCUCCACCAUGUGAGAGGAAUAUUUCUCUUUCAAACCAUGCAGUAAAUGAGCAUCUGGCCUGUACGCUUCCUGUAGUGCGCACUACUUAGCAGACUUCUGUCCCACCACAUCCCGGUUUAUUACCGUUUAACCUGUGCUUAGUCUUUAAAAAUAAAUAUUCAUAAUUUUUAUAAGUAGGUUUCGAUCACUGUAUAUGUUAUAUCAUUAUAUUUGACAUUUUAAUCAGUAAUCCUUCAUCACUCAUAUCAGCUCUGAUAAAUGUUUUAUCUUGAAUUAAACAGCUCAGGAAUUUAUUCACAGAACUGCUGAGUAAGACGUCUCUAAUGUUCAGACAUUUCCAGAGUAAUGAAUAAUGAGUAGCUGAAAUAUAUAAUCUGUAAAUAUAUAAACCCCUAAAUCAUGUUUCUGCUCCAUUUUUUUUUUUUUGUUGUUGUAGUUUGUUUGUUAUACUGUGUUUU